AAUGCUUUGCAUCCUUUCAAGUUGUGCGCGAAUCGCUCGCCUCGUGAGAGCGUCCCGUGUUGAAGGACAUCGCGCCCGUAAUGCUUUGAAUACACCAUACAUGUUGUAUGGAAACGUUAACCCCUUUAAAUUCAUACAAUUUUUAUAUUAAAGCCUACUUAGAAAACAAGGCCUAAUUAAGCAAUCGAGACUGUAAUUGACCGAGCGGCUGAGUAGGUCAAGCAACGGGGUCACGGUAAGCUGUCCAGUUUUGGGCUCGGGACAACUUACCUGAGCGGUGAGUGAGCCCAAAGUUACAAAACAGUACACGGAGCGAGAAGUGUGAUGUGGCCAGCCAUCCGCCGACGGAGACUCCGCUCACUCACCUGUACACAACGACAACACAGAAAUCUGCAUCCACUCAGAUGUGUGAGAGUGCUGAAUUCCUCAGCUGUGUAAACACCUGUUGGAGCGAGAGUACAGUCUGUGAGAUGAAGAAACUGCUGAAACAUUUCGUGGUGCUCCAGACCCAUGGCCACCAGGGAAUCGUACCAGAGACCACCACGCUGGAGGACAUGAGUUCCUGGCUCAUAUCUCGCACAUGCCCGAACCGUCAGAUGCCCAAAUUGUUCCCACUGACGGAAUCAUGGAGGACUGGUGAAACUAACCAGUUGCGAACACUGGAGCUCCAGGCAUCUAAGGAGGUUCCGGUCAACCUCAAUCAGGCCCAUAAACCCAUGGCUUCUGGAGGCCUCUCCUCUCGUUGUGAAGAGGUCCAUUUGGAGGUGGUCAGAGGUCUGAGGCAGGUGUCGCCCUCAGUGACCUUUGACCCCUCUGCCUCCUUGCACAGUCCCGCCGAAGUUCUGGUGGACCUGGUUCCCAGGCUGCUGCUGAACCUGCAGGCCCAGCACAGGAAAGCCCUCCCGAGGGACCAGCGAGGCUGGCUGGCCCUGACCGACGUGGUCCUCAGUGCCAUGCUGGAAGUCCUUGACAACCUGGCCUCUGCUCUGGACAACCUGGAGACCCUCAAGGUCUACUACUCCCCCGCCACAGGGGUCCGUCUGGUGCACUCCGUCCAGAGGCUGAUGGUGAAGCUCAGGGCUCUGAUGAACGCAGUCUGACCGGCAGGAUGGUGGACGCCCUGACCGUGAAGGUCCAGAAGAUGUUCCAGCAGCGCCAGGAUGUCAUCCUCACUGAGGCUGUCUUGGACGACCUGUCUGACGCCAAGGAAACAGUGCCUGAGAGGGCACUGUAUCCACCAGGGCCAAGCAGCCAACAGCUGAUUCUUCACGCUGAAGAACUCAGGACUCUGGUGGGCCUGGCGUUGGUCCAGAUAUUCGACGGGCGCGUCGAGGCUCAGCUGGACGUGUCGGACUGGCCCAUCUUCGACGAGCUUGAGAACCUGCUCUCGCACUACAACAUGAGAACCUCGAAGAAGAUGGAGAAGGUCAACUGGAGGCUCAGCCUGGAGUCCAUCGUGAGGAUGUCCACGGAGCUCCACAACAGUCUCCACAGCGCCUUCGGGUCCAAGCUGAACCUUCAGAUGGCCGUGAAGCACAGGGUCAAGGUGCUGACCCGUUCUAUGAACUACAGGGUGGUGGACCUGAUACUGCAGUUGCAGGAUCGUCACCUGGCUGAGAGCAUGGCUGAGGAGAGCAGUGGCCAGUUCGCCAUGAAAGUACCUGUGGUGGAGGAGAUCCCUACUUCCCCUAGCUGCUUCUCUGCUCUCUGGAAGGUCCUGAGGUCUAGUUUCACCAAGAGGCAGAAGAGAGUCAGCGCUGGACCGGGUGUUCGAUGCCGACCCUGAAGCGCCAAAGCACUCAGCGCCACCAAGAGAUGACGUCAGCGCUGAGCCUGGGUGUUCGAUGCCGGCCGGGAAACCAACCCUGCGCUGAGCUCCACCGACAGGCCAGGCUUUUGUUGACAGAAGGGGACGCAGGCGAAGACAGAGGGAGAUGAAGACAGAUGGAGACGGAAGCCAGCCAGCUCCAUCUACAGGCCAGGCUGUUGUACAAAGUUGUAUAAAGUAGAAGUAGAAAACAUACGUUUUAGGAAAGUUUUAGGAAAGAACAUCAUAUUUCAAGUAAGUGUUUGACUUUUUUUUUUCUGUUGAAUAAAUUAAGAUAUUAUAUUUUAAGUAAAGUUAGUAGCUUAAUUUCUUAUGAAGCCCCCAACAUUUUAAUGAAUUUAUAUCUAUAAUAUAACAAUAUAUUAAUGUAGCAUGAUUUAUUAUUGGGCAGUUCUUUAUGUCAUUGAGCUUUGUAAAACAGUGAACUGGCUAGUUUUGUGGUUCUCUUUUUAUUUAUUUACAGAUGACCGAGCCUUAUUUUACUGAAGGGGAGAAGAUGGAAGGUGCUGUGGACAGACGGAGAUGAAGACACAGAGAGGCGAGCACGAAGACAGACGAGGAAGAAGACAAUGGGAGACGAAGACACACGUGGAUGAAGGAACAGAGCGAAGAAGGCGAGGAAGAAGAUAGACAGAGACAAAGACUGACAGAGACGAAGACAGACAAAGACGAAGACAGACGGAGAUGAAGACAGACGAAGACGAAGAGUGAGUGAGACAAAGACUGAGAGAGAGGAAGACAGACGAAGACGAAGACAGAGAGAGACGAAGACAGUUGGGGAGUGAUGAAGAAGGCAUAGCAAGAUGACCUGACUCUGUUCCUUCUCUCUACCUCUAUAAGGCUCAGAAGAGGGGGAGCAGUGUAGAGGAAGAGGAGUGGAGGGACAUGGUCCAGACCUCCAUACCACAGCUGUACCCCAGCACCUGGUCCUACUACUGCUUCUGACAGAUCAUCCCCACAUCGUUAACUGCCCUUAACACCAUGUCUAACUCAUUC
ensembl:lncRNA